ACGAAUCUUACCGGCAAUCGCAUUUGACUCGUCUGCUGGUAAUCAUCUUCAAAAACAGACAAUGGUUGGAUAUUUGUAAACAUUUAUCCGUAAACCUGAUUUUGCAUAAAACGUAUAGCAUUUUUCAUCACAAUACUGCCGCAGAUUGAGGCUACAGCAGGGGGAGGGGUGAUCGGGAACAUAGGGGGGUGGGCGCGAUGCCCUGCGUGUGCCCGGGAGAAAGAGAGAGCCGCCGAUCUGCGGGGAAAUGUUAACGGGACGCGUCCGGAGACAGUAAAUGAGCAACCAGACUCAUCGCAAUGAUUUUUUAAUUUUCAAAAUCUUUCUCCCCUACGGUCACUGACUUGUCAGCCCCACUGUCCAGCUACUAGAUGACUGCGCACCCAGUCGGUGAUCGCAGGAUGGAGCCCGCGGUACUUAUUUUCUUGCUCUAUGUGAUGAUAGCCCAUGAGCUGGUGUGUGGAUGGAUGGAUUAUCGGAAACAGGCAGCCAAGCCCCGGACACAUUCCCGGCAGAUGUGGAUCUCCAGCUCCCGUUCCUGUCAGCGCCCCUCCCGGGUCACCUGCCAGCCCGUGAGGUCCGAAAGGGAGGCUGACUGGAGGAAGAGGGGCAGAAUCGUCCGGAAGGCUUGAGAAGGGACAGACAGUCAGACGGAUGGACAUUUUGCACACUACGGUUGUUUACCUGUGACUGUUUACAUUUUUGUGCAUUAUUUAUUGACCUGUGUAAUCACCUCUGGCUGUUCCAUUAUUUAACUUGUAUGCCUGUGGGUUCAGCAUAUGGUACAGAUAUUAUUUUUGUCAUGACAAUAAAGCAACUUGAACUCGC